UUUCAGUGAGGCUGGUACCGGGAAGACAGAAGACUACCGUCUCAGAGAAGGUGUCCAAAGUGCUGCACAUACUUCCAGCCUACGAGUUGGAUGUGAUGGUUAGAGUUCCAGCCUCUAUUGCAGACCAUAACAAAACUGUGUGAAGAUAGGACUGCUUUUAACUUGUUUACGAUUGCGAGAUCCGUGCAAAACCCGGUGCUAGGGACCCCGCAGAGCAUAAAAAUAUUCGUACAAUGUAACAAGCUCUCCGGUUUCACACAAAAAGGGAAACUGUUUGUUUCCUUGAGUGUUUGUUUUGGACCCAGUAACUGGGUCUGAAGUCCACAUAACAUUUGAGCAGAGGCCAUAAUUCAAGUGCAAAACAGAAAAGGAAGUUCUUAGGAGGUCUGCCUGAGGAAUCGCCAAGCUCUAUACGGAACCCAACUAGGAGAUGGAAAAGCUGUGCAAACUCUAGCGACACCUUACCUCCUCC